AUAAUUGUUGGUCAAUUAUGGUGUAUCAUGACGAACCCUAGUAUUAUCAAGUUAAGCCCUAAUUUGAAACUCAAAUUAGAGUACAAGAUUGUUAGGUAAUCGUGAUAAUGUGAUUAAUGUAUGAUAUUAUAAAUAUAAAUGCUAAUUAGGUAAAACCUAAUUAUUAACUCGAAAUCGUAAUCGUGAAAUUUGAACCCUAAUCGCUAAAGUAUGG
rnacentral:lncRNA from 1 species